AUGCCGCUUGACGGCCCUCCCGCCGAGCCCAAGAAGAAGAAGCGGAUGACCAAAUUGAAGCGCCCCAUCUUGUCACCCAACUCAGACGGCGAUCGCCAAGGGUCUUUAAACAUCAAGCCGCAGGUCCAGACAGGAUAUGGUACCUGUGCGGGGUACCGUCCAAUUUUUAGACGAAGUGUGAACCCAGGAUGUGGUAACUGUGUGUGGUGCCGUCCAUUUUUAAGACGAAGUGAGAACCUCUUUGAUGUGAGUCCAGGACCCAGGUUAUCAGAUUGGUCCAUUCCGAUGCCCCUGGGUGAAUUUCCGGUGCUGAAGUUGCCUCAACAUGACAAUAGUGAUCAAUCAAUCGCUUACAGUCAUGCUGGAACGUCUGAACCACCUCCCAAAGAUGGGGAGGACAAUAGUGAUCGGCCAAUCGCUGACAGUCAUGCCGGAACGUCUGAACCGCCUGCCAAAGACGGGGAGUGAGCAUCGGGGAGUAAAUGCUCACGGAGGGAUUGAAUGACGCUUGAGGAUGGUAUUUCUGCUGCUAGUUUUUCCUUUUGAAGUAAAACUAUAUGAUAUCAGAAAAAUAUGGAUUGAGGGUAAUACUGCUGCUGCUAGUUUUUCUUUCCGGAAGUUAAAA
rnacentral:misc_RNA from 1 species